rnacentral:rRNA from 1 species
CCUAGGGUGGCAGCAGUGAGGAAUAUUGGUCAAUGGGCGUAAGCCUGAACCAGCCAAGUCGCGUGAGGGAUGAAGGUUCUAUGGAUCGUAAACCCCUUUUUUAAGGGUAUAAAGUGUGGGACGUGUCCUAUUUUGUAUGUACCUUAUGAAUAAGGAUCGGCUAAAUCCGCGCCAGGAGCCGCGGUAAUACGGAGGGUCCGAGCGUUAUUCCGAUUUUUUGGGGUUAAAGGGGGCGUAGGCGGCCUUUUAAGUCAGCGGUGAAAAUCUGUGGCUCAACCAUAGAAUUGCCGUUGAAACUGGGGGGCUUGAGUAUGUUUGAGGCAGGCGGAAUGCGUGGUGUAGCGGUGAAAUGCAUAGAUAUCACGCAGAACCCCGAUUGCGAAGGCAGCCUGCCAGGCCAUGACUGACGCUGAUGCACGAAAGCGUGGGGAUCGAACAGGAUUAGAUACCCCUGUAGUC